GGCAGGCGGGAGGCGCUGGCGCGGUCCGACGAUCCGCCGCUGUGCAGUCGCGUGGUGCUAACGAGCAAGGCGUGGAUACAGCCGGAGACGAACAACUACGACGCAGAGAUAGAGGAAGAGUUGCAUCAUAAAAAGCUAGUGAAUAUACUACACGUAGGUGGCGCCACCACUGCAGAACCCCGGCACUCUGUUCCCCGACCGCCUAACAAGCCUCUGUUAGACAGCCAGCUAAUAUCUAGUCAUAGGCGACUAAGAACGCUGGCACAGUCAUGAUGCAUGGAGUCAACAGGCCGUGGCGUACCGGGAGGUAACACACGUAUGGCCCCUUGCUGCGAUCCUCAAAUCCUCUCAUCAUCUCACGACGUGUGCGUUCUACAUUGCUAAUAGAAAAAUCUAUGUAGUAAUAUUGCGUAAACAUAUAUAUAUACAUGUAUAUAUAUAUAUAUAUAUAUAUAUAUAUAUACAAGGUGUAGACAUGUCUACUUGAUACGAUGUAUAUAAAAUGUGUUCUAUAUACAUUGUAUCAGGAGUAAAUGAAAACAAACAGAUUGUUUUUAUUCACUUCUGAUUGUAUGC